CGAAAGUAAUUGCUUAUGUUUUGUUUUGAAUUGGUUUAGAGAAUAACUAGUUUUUAGUUCAUUAUUUAAUAUUAUGCUCCACAACUUUGGUCCUCGGUUUAAAAUAAAGAAUUUAGUAGCGGAAUAAAAAUACACUACAAUGAAAUUAUGGACUGAAAAGGUUUACAUAAACGAAGAUUAUAGUGAAAAAACGCUGGAAUUGCAAAAAAAACUCAUUAUCGAAGCAAAAGAAUUGAGAGCGAACGUUAACUCCCUAUUCAGAUCAGUAUACAAAUGUUUUACAUUAUUAUUGGUGAAAAAGAGAUUGGUAUCGUCUGAAAACAUUAUUGAGUUCAGCUUUAAUGACGCAUCACAAAAGUCUUUAAUAUUAAUUAAGAAUAUGAGCGGACCGAGAAUCGAUUACUGUGGUACUCUGCAUACAACGCUUAGUAUUCCGGAUUGUACAUUAUAAGCAAAUUGCUUUCUAUGAGUAAGAUAGCUUUUAAUCCAGGAAUUUGUUGAAUUAUUUAUACCAUAAUGCUUAAUUUUUUCUUAGAGAAUGGAAUGGUCAACUGUGUCGAAUGCUUUAGAUAAGUCUAUAGAUACUCCUAAAGUAUAUUUGCUUUUGUCAAAACCUUCAGUUAUUUAUUCUCUUAUUAUUUGGUUGUUUUUCUUUUUAAGUCUAGCUCGAGUUUCGUUGAACGCUACUUGCUGAGCUGAAGUCCUGUCUUCUCGUGCAAAAACUCCGUUAAAUUUUUGUAGUUGAUGGCAAUUGGAGUGAUUUUCUCUCUUUCGUUUGCAAGAGAGACUUGAAUAAUAUUAGAGUUAUGAAUAGCUUAUUUUUUACUUGUGUUUAGGUGUCGUGUCACGGAGUUCAUCAAGACUACAAAUCUUGAUGAACUCCGUGACUCUUGUCUUGUCGUUUUUGUUCUCGGUUUUGGAUAGACCAACCACAAUGACAUUUGCGAAACAAUCCUCUCUGCCUUUGUUUUCAGCGGCGACAAUGUUAUUAAUUCGUUUCUUAGUUUGUCUGUUUCCGUUGCGUUUCCAAUGAGUUUCGGGGCGUAAGUUCGUAUUUCGUGUCUUCCAGUUUCUUGUUGAGAUCGUAAAUUUGGGCAGUAAGUUUCGCCUCGGUUUCUUUGUUUAGUUUAAUUAUCGGUGUGAGCGCAGAGAUUAAUGCCACCUUGAACAUUUCAGCAACGAGGUUUUUGUAGUUUUUUGUUGAAUGAUUUGCUUACGAUUGUUGUUGCCAAGGUGUCUCUUAUUGCUGCGUCGAUUAGAGACACCAUGUUUGGUGUCUCAUCGAAAAAUGGUGUUUAUAACUUCAUACGCAAGUUUGGGUCGAAAGCGACCAUAGCGGCCGCUCUCGACCCAAACUUGCGUAUUGAAGUUAUAGGAAGUAUAUACUUUGCAUUUACAAAGUUUAAGAAAAAACUUAGAAAAUUUUUGUAACUUUAUUGAAGAAACUUGUAAUAUUCUUAAUAUAACUUGCUUAACAGAAACUUGGUGCAGUUCGGAUGACGCAAAUUUAUUUACAAAUUUUGAAAUGCUUGAUUUCAAUUUGGUUUCGUUACCACGAAAAACAAAUAAACGUGGUAGAGACGUUCUUAUUUAUGUUAGAAAUAGCUUAAUAUAUAUUACCAGACAUGAUAUGUGCAUUUCUAAUGCCUAUAAAGAAUUUUAACGAUAGAAAUUUCAACUAAUAAAACAAAAAAAAUUAUUCUUAGUUGUUGUUAUCAACCAACUUCUAAGUUGUUGUUAUCACCCACCUUUGAUGAAAUUAAUUCUUUUAAUUCACUUUUAUGUAAUGAUGUUAUUUAAAUAAGUAACCACAAGAAGAAGUUUAUCUAUUUAUUGGGUGAUCUAAAUUUAAAUUGUUUUCCAUAUCACAUUAAUACUAACAUUAAAAGUUUUUAUUAUGACAAAUUUUAAAAAUGAGCAAUUCCUUUGAUUAACAAACCUACCAUAAUUACUCAGUUUUUUCCUCUUUAGUUUUGUUCUUCUUUAAUUGAUAAUAUUUUAACCACGGAUAUUUUUAACGAAUCUUUAAAAAAAGGGGAUAAUUAAAAAUGACAUAUUUGAUCACUUUUCUAUCUUCUUCUCGAUAAAUGUUGAUACAAAUUUCCUAUCCAACGAAACACAAGUUUUUAUAAAGCGCAAUUUUUCAAAUAAUAACCUUGAAUCUUUUAAAAAUCAAUUAUCUCUAAUUCAUUGGAAAUAGUAUUAACUCUUCUAAUGAUGCAGAGUUUAAAACUUCUCUUUUUAAAUGUUUUAUGAUAUUUACAAUACUAAUUUCCCUGAAGUUAGUUUAAAUCUCAAAUCUAAAAGUAUUAAAUCGCUUUGGAUUACAAAGGGUUUGCGGAGGUCUUCUAAAAUCAAACAAAAAUUAUACAUUAAAUACUUAAAAUAUCUAAUAUAUAAAAAUAUCAUCAUCUUGCUGUUAAUAAUAUACUUUACAUAAAUCAAUACGGUUUCAAAAGAAAUAACUCAACUGAACAUGCAAUAAUUCAUCUUACUCAUAGUAUAACUGAUUCAUUCAAAAAGUCAGAGUUUACUUUAGGCAUCUUUAUAGACUUAUCUAAGGCUUUUGACACAAUUGACCAUGAAAUACUGUUUAAAAACUUGAACAUUAUGGUAUCACCGGUUUAAAACUACUAAAAAGCUAUUUAAAACAUCGCCAACAAUUUGUCUAUGUCGACGGAUCUUCUGCACAAGGUUAUCUAAAUAUAAGUUGUGGAGUUUCACAGGGAUUUAUACUAGAGCCUUUAUUAUUUCUAAUUUAUGUUAACGAUCUCCAUGAAGUCUCAAAAUUAACAACUAUAAUGUUUGCCUAUGGUACAAACCUAUUCCUAUCUAAUAAGAACAUCAAAAACUUUUUUAUGAUAUGAACAUGGAACUAACAAAAAUAUCUGACUGGUUUAAGUCAAAUUAACUUUCACUCAACAUUGAUAAAACUAAAUGGAUUUUCUUUCAUCCACGAAUUAAAAAAUAUUUACUUCCAAGUAAUAAAAAUUCCACUCAAGGCCACUCUUAUUUAACAUGAAUGUUUUUAAUAUAUUAAGUAAAUGUUUAUAAUGUUCUUUUCUUUAUGUUUAAAUGUAAAACCAACUCA
rnacentral:lncRNA from 1 species